rnacentral:lncRNA from 1 species
UGUUGUUUUCCAGCAUUGUGCUUUGUGUGCAUUAUCUUAUUUAACCCUCACUACAACCCUAUAGGUAGGUACUGUUUUUAAACCUCACUUUAACAGAUGAGCAGAUGGAAUCUGGGGAUUAGAUAUCUUGACCAAGAUUACAGUUAUUAAGAGACAAAGUCUGGAUUCUGUGCUUCAAAUCCCUGGAUACUUUUGUCUCCUAGAAGUGAGAACUGUGAGCUCCUUAGUGUUCCACCAGGAAGACAGAGAGACUGGUAUACAGAGCUCCUGCCUCUCCAGAUUUCUCCUACCAUGAAGAUAAAUGAUCUGGUUAAUAAAUUAAUGCAUGUCUCUACAGAUUUCUGUUUUAAGAUUAGUCUACAGCAUGACUGCAGAGCUAAAACAAGGCAAUAGAUAUAUGGAAUCUCAAACACAAAUAAAGGAAAUUUAGAGG